GUUUGAUCCUGGCUCAGGAUGAACGCUAGCGGCGUGCCUAAUGCAUGCAAGUCGAACGGGAUCCCAUAGAUUCGUCUAAGGGUGAGAGUGGCGAACGGGUGAGUAACACGUUGGUGACCUGCCCCAGAGAGGGGGACAACCAGUGGAAACGCUGGCUAAUACCCCGGAUGUCAAGGUUUUUAGAAACCCUUGAUUGAAGCUCCGGCGCUCUGGGAGGGGCCUGCGGUCCAUCAGCUUGUUGGUAGGGUAACGGCCUACCAAGGCGAAGACGGAUAGGGGGCGUGAGAGCGUGACCCCCCACACUGGUACUGACACACGGACCAGAUACCUGCGGGUAGCAGCAGCAAGGAAUAUUGCCCAAUGGACGAAAGUCUGAGGCAGCAACGCCGCGUGAAGGAAGAAGGCUUUCGGGUUGUAAACUUCUUUUUUGGGGGAAGAGAAAGGACGGUACCCCAAGAAUAAGAUCCGGCUAACUACGUGCCAGCAGCCGCGGUAAAACGUAGGGAUCGAGCGUUAUCCGGAUUUACUGGGCGUAAAGCGCGUGCAGGCGGUUUUCUAAGUCGGACGUGAAAGCUCCUGGCCCAACUGGGAGAGGCCGUUCGAAACUGGAAGACUUGAGGAUGGUAGAGGUAAGUGGAAUUCCCGGUGUAGUGGUGAAAUGCGUAGAUAUCGGGAGGAACACCAGUGGCGAAGGCGGCUUACUGGGCCAUUCCUGACGCUGAGACGCGAAAGCUAGGGGAGAGAACGGGAUUAGAAACCCCGGUAUUCCUAGCCGUAAACGAUGUCAACUAGGUGUAGGGGGUAUCCAACCCCCCUGUGCUGUAGCUAACGCGUUAAGUUGACCGCCUGGGGACUACGGCCGCAAGGCUAAAACUCAAAGGAAUUGACGGGGACCCGCACAAGCAGCGGAGCGUGUGGUUUAAUUCGAGCUACGCGAAGAACCUUACCAGGGUUUGACAUGUACGUGGUAGGAAGGUGAAAGCCGACUGACCCUUCGGGGAGCGUACACAGGUGCUGCAUGGCUGUCGUCAGCUCGUGCCGUGAGGUGUUAGGUUAAGUCCUGUAACGAGCGCAACCCUCGUCGUUAGUUAUACGUGUCUAACGAGACUGCCGGUGAUAAGCCGGAGGAAGGUGGGGAUGACGUCAAGUCAGCAUGGCCUUUAUAUCCUGGGCUACACACACGCUACAAUGGCCGGUACAAUGGGUAGCCAAGCCGCGAGGCGGAGCCAAUCCUUCAAAGCUGGUCUCAGUUCGGAUUGUAGGCUGCAACUCGCCUGCAUGAAGUCGGAGUUGCUAGUAAACGCGCGUCAGCAACAGUGCGUUGAAUACGUUCCCGGGUCUUGUACACACCGCCCGUCACGUCAUGGAAGUUGGCAACGCCUGAAGUCAGUGAGCUAACCCUAACGGGAGGCAGCUGCCCAAGGCGGGGUCGGUAACUGGGACGAAGUCGUAACAAGGUA
rnacentral:rRNA from 1 species